GACGAACGCUGGCGGCGUGCUUAACACAUGCAAGUCGAACGGAAAGGCCCUGCUUUUGUGGGGUGCUCGAGUGGCGAACGGGUGAGUAACCCGUGAGUAACCUGCCCUUGACUUUGGGAUAACUUCAGGAAACUGGGGCUAAUACCGGAUAGGAGCUCCUGCUGUAUGGUGGGGGUUGGUAAGUUUCGGCGGUUGGGGAUGGACUCGCGGCCUAUCAGCUUGUUGGUUGGGUAGUGGCUUACCAAGGCUUUGACGGGUAGCCGGCCUGAGAGGGUCACCGGACACAUUGGGACUGAGAUACGGCCCAGACUCCUACGGGAGGCAGCAGUGGAGUAUAGUGCACUAUGGGCGGAAGCCUGAUGCAGCAACGCCGCGUGCGGGGUGACAGCCAUCGGGUUGUAUACCACAUUCGCCUGUGACGAAGCGUUAGUGACGGUAAUGGGUAAAGAAGCACCGGCUAACUACGUG
rnacentral:rRNA from 1 species